rnacentral:lncRNA from 1 species
GGGGGGGGGUGGGGGGGGCAGGCGGGGAUGCUUCUGGGACUGAUGAGGAAAAGAAUCAAGUUUCAAAUGUGACUGAUUAGUGCAACCUCAGGUGAGGGAACUAAGGUUUAGAGAGGGCUAGGGACACUCCCAAGGUUUCGGGAAGGUCGUAGAAUAAUAGUGAUCAUUAUAAUGAUGGUAACAGUAGUAUCUACUAUAUGUGAUGGGAUAUGGGGUAAUGUUUUUCUACGUAUUAACUAGUCUUUCCCCCCAAUAUCUUCUUGCACUCCUCAGCUCCUUCCACUUCCAGUAGCUAGGUUGCUUUGAGGCACACAGAGACAAUAUGAGUGUUCACAGGCCCCUGGGGUUCUGGGAGGGACCUCAAGAGGCUGCUAGGGGCUGAGAGCAUCAGCCCAAGACCACUGGUGGGAAGCCUGAGCUUGACCACUCAGCAUUUCUUGCCUCAGGGAACAGGCUAGAAUUCUUGGAUUUUAAGCUUCAAAAGCCAGAUGGUAGAACUUCUAAAAUAAAAAAUAAUCCUUGAAAUGUAAAACUCAGGGAGAUAAACAGAGCUGGAAAAGAAGAUCUAGAAUUCACCCAAAACGUAGUACAAAGAGGUAAAUAAGGAGAAAACAGGGGAGAGUGAGGGGUGUGGAGAAUAGAAUGAGAUGGUCUCAUCUAUGCCAGGUAGCAUUCCAGGAAGAGAGAUUUGACAGAAUGAGAGGCACUAUUCAGGAGACAAUGGCUAAGAAAUCUCUAGAACUGAAGACAGAUGUGCGUUUUCAUGCAGCAGAGUCAUGCCAGGCUGUGGGCCAUAUCAUGGUGCAAUUCCAGAGCUCAGAGAGAGGACUUCCUGACCCCUUGCUCCAUGCACCAUUCUUUGACCACCCCUGGGGCACUUUGGCUGGAACAAAGUUAGAGAACCGCUCAUCAAAAGCGUGAAUGCAGCUUUCCCCAAAAUGUGUUUCUGGGAACUCUGCUUCAGGGUGUCCCAUGAAAAAAGGUUCCAUCGUCACAGAAGUUUGAGAAACACUGGAUUAACCAAGGUGAACUGGGUCUCUUCAGGAUUUCUUUGCAACUUUAAUAUUUACGUUGUGCACCAGGAGCCUUGAAGAGGGCAGCUGAUGUGCUCCUUCUGCAAACCUACUGUUUUAUCAAGAUCACCCCAAAGGCUGGUGCUGUGCAGAACACACUAGGGAAAUGCUAUACUGGAGAAUAGUAAUAAUAAGUUUUCCUAUGUCUUCCUGUCAAGAGCUUGUAUAGGGCUGGAUACUG